rnacentral:rRNA from 1 species
CGAGUAGCGACCGCAUGGUCAGUUACUGGANNNNNUUAUUGGUUGGGGAUGGGCUCGCGGCCUUUCAGCUUGUUGGUGAGGUAAUGGCUCACCAAGGCGUCGACGGGUAGCCGGCCUGAGAGGGUGACNNNCCACACUGGGACUGAGACACGGCCCAGACUCCUACGGGAGGCAGCAGUGGGGAAUAUUGCACAAUGGGCGCAAGCCUGAUGCAGCAACGCCGCGUGAGGGAUGACGGCCUUCGGGUUGUAAACCUCUUUUAGCAGGGAAGAAGCGAAAGUGACGGUACCUGCAGAAAAAGCGCCGGCUAACUACGUGCCAGCAGCCGCGGUAAUACGUAGGGCGCAAGCGUUAUCCGGAAUUAUUGGGCGUAAAGAGCUCGUAGGCGGUUUGUCGCGUCUGCUGUGAAAUCCGGAGGCUCAACCUCCGGCCUGCAGUGGGUACGGGCAGACUAGAGUGCGGUAGGGGAGAUUGGAAUUCCUGGUGUAGCGGUGGAAUGCGCAGAUAUCAGGAGGAACACCGAUGGCGAAGGCAGAUCUCUGGGCCGUAACUGACGCUGAGGAGCGAAAGGGUGGGGAGCAAACAGGCUUAGAUACCCUGGUAGUCCACCCCGUAAACGUUGGGAACUAGUUGUGGGGUCCAUUCCACGGAUUCCGUGACGCAGCUAACGCAUUAAGUUCCCCGCCUGGGGAGUACGGCCGCAAGGCUAAAACUCAAAGGAAUUGACGGGGACCCGCACAAGCGGCGGAGCAUGCGGAUUAAUUCGAUGCAACGCGAAGAACCUUACCAAGGCUUGACAUAUACGAGAACGGGCCAGAAAUGGUCAACUCUUUGGACACUCGUAAACAGGUGGUGCAUGGUUGUCGUCAGCUCGUGUCGUGAGAUGUUGGGUUAAGUCCCGCAACGAGCGCAACCCUCGUUCUAUGUUGCCAGCACGUAAUGGUGGGAACUCAUGGGAUACUGCCGGGGUCAACUCGGAGGAAGGUGGGGAUGACGUCAAAUCAUCAUGCCCCUUAUGUCUUGGGCUUCACGCAUGCUACAAUGGCCGGUACAAAGGGCUGCAAUACCGCGAGGUGGAGCGAAUCCCAAAAAGCCGGUCCCAGUUCGGAUUGAGGUCUGCAACUCGACCUCAUGAAGUCGGAGUCGC